rnacentral:tRNA from 1 species
AAAAAAUUAGUUUAACCCAAAAACAUUAGUAUGUCAAACUAAAAACAUUAGACUUUCUAAUAUUUUUUA